rnacentral:rRNA from 1 species
CUAUACAUGCAGUCGUACGCACUGGCCCAACUGAUUGAUGGUGCUUGCACCUGAUUGACGAUGGAUCACCAGUGAGUGGCGGACGGGUGAGUAACACGUAGGUAACCUGCCCCGGAGCGGGGGAUAACAUUUGGAAACAGAUGCUAAUACCGCAUAACAACAAAAGCCGCAUGGCUUUUGUUUGAAAGAUGGCUUUGGCUAUCACUCUGGGAUGGACCUGCGGUGCAUUAGCUAGUUGGUAAGGUAACGGCUUACCAAGGCGAUGAUGCAUAGCCGAGUUGAGAGACUGAUCGGCCACAAUGGAACUGAGACACGGUCCAUACUCCUACGGGAGGCAGCAGUAGGGAAUCUUCCACAAUGGGCGCAAGCCUGAUGGAGCAACACCGCGUGAGUGAAGAAGGGUUUCGGCUCGUAAAGCUCUGUUGUUGGAGAAGAACGUGCGUGAGAGUAACUGUUCACGCAGUGACGGUAUCCAACCAGAAAGUCACGGCUAACUACGUGCCAGCAGCCGCGGUAAUACGUAGGUGGCAAGCGUUAUCCGGAUUUAUUGGGCGUAAAGCGAGCGCAGGCGGUUGCUUAGGUCUGAUGUGAAAGCCUUCGGCUUAACCGAAGAAGUGCAUCGGAAACCGGGCGACUUGAGUGCAGAAGAGGACAGUGGAACUCCAUGUGUAGCGGUGGAAUGCGUAGAUAUAUGGAAGAACACCAGUGGCGAAGGCGGCUGUCUGGUCUGCAACUGACGCUGAGGCUCGAAAGCAUGGGUAGCGAACAGGAUUAGAUACCCUGGUAGUCCAUGCCGUAAACGAUGAGUGCUAGGUGUUGGAGGGUUUCCGCCCUUCAGUGCCGGAGCUAACGCAUUAAGCACUCCGCCUGGGGAGUACGACCGCAAGGUUGAAACUCAAAGGAAUUGACGGGGGCCCGCACAAGCGGUGGAGCAUGUGGUUUAAUUCGAAGCUACGCGAAGAACCUUACCAGGUCUUGACAUCUUGCGCUAACCUUAGAGAUAAGGCGUUCCCUUCGGGGACGCAAUGACAGGUGGUGCAUGGUCGUCGUCAGCUCGUGUCGUGAGAUGUUGGGUUAAGUCCCGCAACGAGCGCAACCCUUGUUACUAGUUGCCAGCAUUAAUUUGGGCANUCUAGUGAAACUGCCGGUGACAAACCGGANAAAGGUGGGGACAA